AUUGAACGCUGGCGGCAGGCCUAACACAUGCAAGUCGAACGGUAGCACAGAGAGCUUGCUCUCGGGUGACGAGUGGCGGACGGGUGAGUAUGUCUGGGAAACUGCCUGAUGGAGGGGGAUAACUACUGGAAACGGUAGCUAAUACCGCAUAACGUCGCAAGACCAAAGUGGGGGACCUUCGGGCCUCACACCAUCGGAUGUGCCCAGAUGGGAUUAGCUAGUAGGUGGGGUAAUGGCUCACCUAGGCGACGAUCCCUAGCUGGUCUGAGAGGAUGACCAGCCACACUGGAACUGAGACACGGUCCAGACUCCUACGGGAGGCAGCAGUGGGGAAUAUUGCACAAUGGGCGCAAGCCUGAUGCAGCCAUGCCGCGUGUAUGAAGAAGGCCUUCGGGUUGUAAAGUACUUUCAGCGGGGAGGAAGGCGGUGGAGUUAAUAACUUCACCGAUUGACGUUACCCGCAGAAGAAGCACCGGCUAACUCCGUGCCAGCAGCCGCGGUAA
rnacentral:rRNA from 1 species